GGGCCGGAAGCUUUCGGAUAACAACUUCCGCUCGGGAAGUUUGUAAAGGUCUGGGCUACCGGCGCGGCGUAGUGGAUGCAGCAUCCUAGUUGAGGACGCCCCGCUGGUUUGUCAGGACCCGGUUGCGUAUCCUCUUGAAGCUGGUUUCUUCCUGGCCGACCCCGUCCGCGAUCGUGACCUUAGUUAUCCCUCAUAGACACUUUCCACACCCGUGUCUCCAGCCCUAUCGCUCCGAUGAGACCCGAGCGCUUAGACUUGAUUCAUAACACCCAAAGCUCCCCGGCCCCAGGCUGAGCUCCUGCAACCUCCACACCCCACCCUCUGGUCCUCCCAGGCAUUCCACCGCGAAGGGGAGGAGGCAGAAACCCGAGAUUCGCUUCUUCUCCUUUCCUGCCCACGCCCAGCCACACAGUCACUGACAGCGUCUCAGUCUAACAUCCAGGCUGGAGUGCACUGGCAUGAUCUCAGCUCACUGCAACCUCCGCCUCCCGUAUUCAAGCAGUCCCCCCACCUCAGCCUCCUGAGUAGCUGGGACUGUAUAUGUGCACUGCCACGCCCCGCUAAUUAUUGUAUUGUUUAUAGAGACAGGUUGGGCAACUGCUGGGCUCGAACAGUCCUCCUGCCUCAGCCUCCUAGGGUGUUGGGAUUACAGGCGUGAGCCACUGUGCUUGGCCCCUUGUAAUAUCUCUGUCAGGUUUUCGGUUUGGGUUUUGCUGGCCUCAUUAAGACAGACUGGAUAGCGUCUGCUCUUCCUCUGUUCACUAAAUAGCUUCUAAGAUCAGUACUGUGCUUCCGUAGGCUUUGGUGGAGUUUACCAGGGAAUCCAGCUGGGUGUGGUAUUUUCUGUGUGGGAAGGGUUCCAGUUACAUUUUCAAUUGCCUUAUCAGAUGGAAGGCUUCCCUUUCUUUUGUCAGUUUCAUGAUACUGUGUUUUUCAUCGAGUUUGUCUGUUUCAUCUCAGUUGCUGAACCUGUUUGCUUGAGUUGCUCCUGACGGCCCUUUAGGAUACUUCCGUGUCUGUAGGGUCUACAGUGACAUCUCCUCCCCUCCCCUGACGAGAUCUGCCCUCCUUGGCACUGUGCUUCCCCAGAGGGGUGGCCUCGCUGUUCCCAUGGACAUGGCCCAGAGGCCCAUCUCCAGACACAGCCACUCGGGGCUCUGGGCUUCAGUGAAUGGAUUUAGGGGACACAAACAAUCAGUCCACCGCAGGGCCACUCUCAUUCCCCCUUCCCGCCCAGACCUGUGGGCUGAGCCUUCUUUUUCUUGGGAAUGGCCUCUUCGGGAGCUGUGUGUGUUGCAGGAGCCAGUGACCUUCAGGGACGUGGCCAUCUACUUCUCAAGGGAGGAGUGGGCGUGUCUGGAACCCAGCCAGAGGACCCUCUACCGGGACGUGAUGCUGGACAACUUCAGCAGUGUGGCUGCUCUGGGAUUUUGCAGCCCCAGACCGGACCUCGUCUCUCGCCUGGAACAGUGGGAGGAGCCGUGGGUUGAAGACCGGGAGAGACCUGAGCUCCAGGCAGUGCGGAGGGGACCCCGGCCAGGGGCAAGGAAGUCUGCAGACCCCAAGAGACACUGUGAUCAUCCAGCUUGGGCUCACAAGAAAACCCACGUGCGGCGAGAAAGAGCCAGGGAAGGAAGCAGCUUUAGGAAGGGCUUCAGGCUGGACACGGAUGACGGGCAGCUUCCCAGAGCUGCUCCAGAAAGGACAGACGCCAAGCCCACGGCUUUCCCGUGUCAGGUGCUCACGCGGUGUUGUGGGCGGCGGCCGGGCCGCAGAGAGCGCCGGAAGCAGCGCGCAGUAGAGCUGUCGUUCAUCUGCGGCACGUGCGGGAAGGCGCUCAGCUGCCACAGCCGGCUGCUCGCUCACCAGACGGUGCACACGGGAACCAAGGCCUUCGAGUGCCCCGAGUGCGGCCAGACCUUCCGGUGGGCUUCAAACCUGCAGCGCCACCAGAAGAACCACACGCGCGAGAAGCCCUUCUGCUGCGAGGCCUGCGGGCAGGCGUUCAGCCUGAAGGACCGCCUGGCUCAGCACCGCAAGGUCCACACCGAGCACAGGCCCUACUCGUGUGGCGACUGUGGGAAAGCCUUCAAGCAGAAGUCCAACCUUCUCAGACACCAGCUGGUGCACACCGGGGAGCGGCCGUUCUACUGCGCGGACUGCGGCAAAGCCUUCCGGACCAAGGAGAACCUCAGCCACCACCAGAGGGUCCACAGCGGGGAGAAGCCCUACACCUGUGCCGAGUGCGGCAAGUCCUUCCGCUGGCCCAAGGGCUUCAGCAUCCACCGGAGGCUGCACCUGACGAAGAGAUUCUACCAGUGCGGCCACUGUGGGAAAGGCUUCCGUCACCUGGGGUUCUUCACGCGGCAUCAGAGGACUCACAGGCACGGGGAGGUGUAGGGGCGCCCGAAGCGUGGGGUGCUGCGCCUCUGCGGGAGUACUGGGCCCUGAGGGAGAGCUGCAGUGAGAAGUUGCUCUUCAGCCUGGAAAAUCAACCUGAAUUCAGAGAAGCCUUCUUAGUCCUCAGAGCUCCCCAGUCCCCUGAGAAGUUUACUGGGAAAACUGCUAGGUGGGAGAAGCAGAUCCAUGGGUACGCCGGAGAUGGCGGGGGCUCUGGAGAUGGCGGGGGCUGCGCCCCGGCGCCAGGCACCCUGGGGAUGUGCUGAGAGUGUGCGCGACCCCGGAGCCACAUGCCAGGCCGGGCUCAGAGGCGGAGAGGCCUGCCCGGUGCCCACAGCCGUCUGGCUCAGGGACUCCACCCUGGCCCCGAGUCGCCGUCUGCUGGGCCUUUCCUUCCUGGCUCUGCACCCCAUGCUGGCUGCCCGGUCUGGCUUCCCUUCUUGUCUCUGUCUUGGGCGAGGCAGCUGUGAGCAUUGCACAGAGGCAAAGACCCUCCUGCAGCCUCUGCGCUGGGCCGUAGAAACAAGAGCCUUUGUAAUACUGAACCUCAUUCAAGGAUUAGGAGUGGUGGUUAGGUCAGGGCCACCCCCAAUGCUGCAGGAACGGCCUCCACCCAGCUCUGUUGGUCAGAGCCUGGGUCAUGCACCUGGAAUUGGGAGAUCAAGUUGGGUCUCAGGGCAGUGAGGUGGCCAUAUCCACCACAGCACAUUUCGUGGGGAAGAGAUGACCUCUUUGUUUUAAACUUAAGGUGUCUGCUUAUCCAGCCAGAAAUAAAAAUCUGCCAGUGGUGUUCCCAAGAGAAGACCCCCGUGGGAAUGGAUCGGGACACUGCCGUGUUUCAGCCAACAGAUGCAUAUGUAAUGUUGGAAUCAGAAACGAGUUUACAAGAAAUAGGGGGAUGAGAAGGUUGAACACACCAAGAGGAAGCCCUGAGCCAGAUCCAGCUGGACAUGCCACCAGACGGCGACCUUUCUGUGGGAAGACGGGCACGCAGAAAGGCCAAGGGGGCUGUGUGUGACCCUGGUAGGAGCAAACCGAGUGCGAAGUCACUUUUGAGACAAUCAUGGAAAUGUGGGCACGGGCCGUGAGUCGGGUGGGUAGGCCGUGAGUCGGGUGGGCCGUGAGUCGGGUGGAUGGACUGAGUCGGGUGGGUGGGCCGUGAGUCGGGUGGAUGGACUGAGUCGUGUGGGUGGCCGUGAGUCGGGUGGGUGGGCCGUGAGUUGCGUGGGUGGGCCGUGAGUCGGGUGGGUGGGCCGUGAGUCAGGUGGAUGGACUGAGUCGGGUGGGUGGGCCGUGAGUCGGGUGGAUGGACUGAGUCGGGUGGGUGGGCCAUGAGUUGGGUGGAUGGACUGAGUCGUGUGGGUGGCCGUGAGUCGGGUGGGUGGGCCGUGAGUCGGGUGGGUGGGCCGUGAGUUGCGAGGGUGUGCCGUGAGUCGGGUGGGUGGGCCGUGAGUUGCGAGGGUGGGCCGUGAGUCGGGUGGGUGGGCCGUGAGUUGCGUGGGUGGGCCGUGAGUCGGGUGGGCGGGCUGUGAGUUGGGUGGAUGGACUGAGUCGUGUGGGUGGCCGUGAGUCGGGUGGGUGGCCGUGAGUCGGGUGGGGGUGAGGAAUUGGCUGCUAGCGGUGAUGGUGACAGAGGGUUACGGAGGAAUCCUCACUCAGAUGCAUUUGGACGUCUUUGUGGGGAAAUGACGUGGCGCCUGGGAUGUACUUUACAAUUCUAAUAAAGAGGAGAAAGACACGACAGUAUUGGCUGAAUGUUGACAGCUGUUGAAGCCGGGAGGUUGGUGUGCUAGAAAGUUCCCCAAAUCUUUUAUUUGCAGCAUGAGUAUGAGUUUCUUCGUGCUCACGGAAGAUUGUAGAGAGCAGCUGUCGGUCAUGGAGUCACAGGGCUGCCUUACCAGGACACCACAGGCAGCCCCACAGACAACACAGGUUUAUUCUCUCCAGCUCUGCAGGCUGGAAGUCCGAGGUAGAGGUGCCAACAGGGUCCGUUUCCGGCGAGCGCCUCCUGGUUCAGAGGCAUCCUCAUGUCAGGAGGGGCUUUGGUGUCACCUUUUCCUUGUGAGGGCCCGGAUCCCAUGACCCCUGUCACCCCAUCGAAGCCAAAUCACCUCCCACAGACCUCCUCAUGCCAUCACGUCGGGCCUAGGGCUUCCACAUGGGAAUUUCAGAGUGACCAUUCAGCCCGUAGCAGAAGCUCCUCUGGGUCUGUCCUGGCCCACAGACCCUGUGUAGGAAAAGCACUUCCCCCUGCGGGGCAGGCCCCGGCAGAGCCCGGUGAGGCAGUGAGGGCCCUGCAGGAUAAGUGGAAAUCUCCCCAGGGGGAUAUGGGGGUGCCUUUCUCUUACAGAGUCCAGGCUGGUAAAAGCGCCUGUGUGUUUCGUGUCUGGUUUGUCCCCUGCCCAGUGGGUGCCGUUGGAAGGGCCUUCAGGUGCUUGAGCGCAGGUGGGGACGGAGCAGCUGGUGUCUCGGCAGUAGAUGUGGCGGAUCAUAAGGACUUGGGUUUUGAGCGCCCUGCAGGAAGCCACUGGCCGCAUCCAGGGUCACCUGUGUCUGGUCGUUAGUCCCUCACGAUGCUGUCACUUUGUGACGCUCUUGUGCGGGAUUAAAUGUGAACAGCAGAGACGUGGGUGAUGCACUGCCUCGUCAGAUGAUGGUCAGUUGUCCAAGCGGGCUGCCUUGCUCUUGGUGGCCUCAUCAUCCAGGGCCCACACACUGGAUGGUUGGGCCACAGUCGCGGUGCCCCCGGGCUGCAGGCUUUCCACCCUGCUUAGCAGGGCUCCAGGGCUCCGGGUAGAGCAGGGGGUCCCUCCCUUGGCAUUUCCCCAGGGAGGAGCACGGCCAUGCUCAGCUGCAGUCAGGCUGCUGCUCUUAGCUGUCUUUCCUUCUAACACUCAGGCUUCCCUUCCUGCCUCCUGGGUCGCUGAAGAAGGUCAGGUCCACAGAAAAGGCCUGGGGAGAGAAUGGUGGUGAGGAGCCCGUGGGGGUGUGAGGGGCCGGGAGGCUCUGCAUCUUGCCCUGUUGGCCUCCUCACCACCCAGGCGGGGGUGGGGUGACAGGAGGGGCUCACAGCAGGUGUCCCGUAAGGAGCACCUUCCUUCCUGGGGCCAGCAGCCGUCACUCCCCGUGAGCCUGUAGAGCCGAGUUUUCUCUGCAUUUAUCUUGGGCAGAGAAUGCAUGAAGCUACUUUGCGGCCAGAAUGGGUGCACAGCAGGGUCUGUUGACAGCCAUGCCUGUGACCUAGCCUUCCACCCCUUUGUCUCCAGGGGACACUUGCCUGGCCUUUGUGUUAGCGCUCAGCACACAUGUGUCCAGUGUAAAGUCCACCAAGAUUAGCAGGGCAUGGUAGCGGCCGCCUGUAAUCCCAGCUUCUCAGGAGUCUAAGGCAGGAGAAUUGCUUGAACCUGGGAGGCGGAGGUUGCAGUGAGCCAAGAUCGUGCCACUGCACUGCAGCCUGGGCGACAGAGUGAGACUCCAUCUCAAAAAAAAAAAGUCCAUCGAGAGAGCAGGUGGCAGGUGCAGCUCCAGGAAUGGGAGGGCCACGUGGUAGCCACUGGCAGCCUUGACUGAAGAUGAAAGAGUCCAUGGUGCUAGGAGGAGGAGCUGCAUCCCAGCAGGCUCAGCUCCUGGAGCUGCCUCUCUGCACUCUGAAGGGAGGCCCAGUGGCUGCAAUAUUCUUUGGGAAGUACAAUGCCAAGUAAAUAAAGAUAUUUGGGGUCAUUCUAGUUACAACGUA